rnacentral:rRNA from 1 species
UACAGAGGGGGCAAGCGUUGUUCGGAAUUACUGGGCGUAAAGGGCGCGUAGGCGCCUGCUAAGUCGAACGUGAAAUCCCCGGGCUCAACCCGGGAACUGCGUCCGAUACUGACAGGCUUGAAUCCGGGAGAGGGAUGUGGAAUUCCAGGUGUAGCGGUGAAAUGCGUAGAUAUCUGGAGGAACACCGGUGGCGAAGGCGGCAUCCUGGAC